UCGAACGGUCUUUUCGGAGAUAGUGGCGGACGGGUGAGUAACGCGUGAGAAUCUGGCUUCAGGUCGGGGACAACAGUUGGAAACGACUGCUAAUACCGGAUGUGCCGAGAGGUGAAAGAUUUAUUGCCUGAAGAUGAGCUCGCGUCUGAUUAGCUAGUUGGUAGUGUAAGAGACAACCAAGGCGACGAUCAGUAGCUGGUCUGAGAGGAUGAUCAGCCACACUGGGACUGAGACACGGCCCAGACUCCUACGGGAGGCAGCAGUGGGGAAUUUUCCGCAAUGGGCGAAAGCCUGACGGAGCAAUACCGCGUGAGGGAGGAAGGCUCUUGGGUCGUAAACCUCUUUUCUCAAGGAAGAAAAAAAUGACGGUACUUGAGGAAUAAGCAUCGGCUAACUCCGUGCCAGCAGCCGCGGUAAUACGGAGGAUGCAAGCGUUAUCCGGAAUGAUUGGGCGUAAAGGGUCCGCAGGUGGAACUGAAAGUCUGCUGUUAAAGAAUCUGGCUCAACCAGAUAAAAGCAGUGGAAGCUACAGAACUAGAGUACGUUCGGGGCAGAAGGAAUUCCUAGUGUAGCGGUGAAAUGCGUAGAUAUUAGGAAGAACACCGGUGGCGAAAGCGUUCUGCUAGGCCG
rnacentral:rRNA from 1 species